GUCUUCACCAUGGCCUGGACAACAUUCCUUCUUGGGCUCCUGGCCUACAGCUCAGGGGCUGAUUCUCAGACUGUGGUGAUCCAGAAGCCAUCACUGUCAGUGUCUCCAGGAGGGAUGACCACACUCACCUGUGGCCUUAGCUCUGAGUCAGUCUCUACAGGACAUUACCCCAGCUGGUACCAGCAGGCACCAGGCCAGUCUCCACAAAAGCUUAUCUAUAACACGAAUAACUGCCCCUCUGGAGUCCCUGAUGGCUUCUCAGGCUCCAUUGCUGGGAACAAAGCUGCCCUCACCAUCACCAGGACCCAGGCUGAAGACGAGAGUGAUUAUUACUGUUCACUGUUCCUGGGUGGUGGCAUUUCCACAGUGAUUUAA